AUGUUCAUAUUCAAGACAGAGCCAGCAGGGGGCAGGUGCCCAGAAAGCUGCCAGAAAUGCCCUUUCCACUUACUUGACACCUUUUAUCAGGCGGGUAAAAGCAGACGCAAGGCAGAUUCGCUUUUACUUCACUGCUCUUGUUCCUUUGACAUAUACUGUUUGAUCUGGAAUACCAACUACUUGCCAAAAUCAUCAGUAUUAAAAACAAUAAAAAGACCUGAAAUAUUUCAGUUGGUGUGCAAUGAAUCUAAAAUAUAUGAAAGUUUAAUUUUUAUCAUUACAUUAUGGAAAAUAAUGAACUUUUUCACAAUAUGCUAAUUUUUUGAGAAGGACCUGUAUAUAUACAUACAUACAUACAUACAUACAUACAUUUACAUAUAUAUAUAUAUAUAUAUAUAUAUAUAUAUAUAUAUAUAUAUAUAUAUAUAUAUAUAUAUAUAUAUAUAUACACACAUAUACAGUACAGGUCAAAAGUUUGGAAACAUUACUAUUUUUAAUGUUUUUGAAAGAAGUCUCUUCUGCUCAUCAAGCCUGCAUUUAUUUGAUCAAAAAUACAGAAAAAACAGUAAUAUUGUGAAAUAUUACUACAACUUAAAAUAAUAGUUUUCUAUUUGAAUAUACUUUAAAAAAAUAAUUUAUUCCUGUGAUGCAAAGCUGAAUUUUCAGCAUCAUUACUCCAGCCUUCAGUGUCACAUGUAACAUCCAGUCUAUCACAUGAUCAUUUACAAAUCAUUCUAAUAUUCUGAUUAAUUAUGAGUGUUGGAAACAGUUCUGCUGUCUAAUAUAUUUGAUGAAUAAAAGGUUAAAAAGAACUGCAUUUAUUCAAAAUAAAAAACAAUUUCUAAUAAUAUAUAUUCUAAUAAUAUAUUUUUUUACUAUCACUUUUUAUCAAUUUAACACAUCCUUGCUGAAUAAAAGUAUUGAUUUUAUUUAAAAAAAAGAAAGAAAAAAAAUUACUGACCCCAAAUUACUGACCAGUAGUGUAUAUUGUUAUUACAAAAAUAUUUAUAUUUUAAAAACAUAGCUUCUUUUAUUUUUUUUUAUUUAUUUUUUUUUACUUUUUAUUCAUCAAAGUAUCCUAAAAAAGUAUCACAUGUUCUGAAAAAAUAUUAAGCAGCAGAACUGUUUCCAACUUUGAUAACGAAUCAUCAUAUUAGAAUGAUUUCUAAAGGAUCAUGUGAUAAUGAUCCUAAAAAUUCAGCUUUGCAUCACAGAAAUAAAUGAUAAUUUAAAGUAUAAUAAAUUUAAAAACAAUUAUUUUAAAUUGUAAUAAUAUAUCACAAUAUUACAUUUUUUUUCUGUAUUUUUGAUCAAAUAAAUGCAGGCUUGAUGAACAGAAGAAACUUCUUUCAAAAACAUUAAAAAUAGUAAUGUUUCCAAACUUUUGACCUGUACUGUAUAUAUAUAUAUAUAUAUAUAUAUAUAUAUAUAUAUAUAUAUAUAUAUGAUGCCCUUGUUACAACUUCCCCAUGUGACAACUAGCCCCAGUAUCCUUUAUGUAUUGCUGUCUCCGGAGCAUCAUUUUGGACAUCCAUCGCAUCCAAAAUGAUAUAACGAUCACAACAGACUGUACAUUACCCUGAAUGCACUUUUGGCCUAAUGUCACUCAAUGGUCUGCCACAAAAGGGCAUGUUUGCAGCCAGGAUCUCUGGAGAGAGAAGACCGCUCAUUUCCAGCACAAUGGCCCUGCUUUCAGCCCCUGAAAUUUGGAUUCUUAUCUCUGCAUUGCCCCAAUGAGAGCACAACAGGAGAAUUUAAUUGGGGAGUUUAAUUAAAUGUCUGGGUCAAUCGCAUCAUGAGUUGAAUACUGACCAAAGGCCAGAGGGGACUAAUAAACCUAAUUUACCUCAUCUGCCCUGUCUUUAGGUGCUUCUCCCUUCCUCCAGGGGCAGAGAGAUGCUUUGAAUGCCUCCUAAAUCAGGAUUAAUGGAUUGUGACCCUGUGGCACUGAGCUGGCAAGUGAAAUUGUCACUGAUGAUUUUGUCAAGAAGUAAAAAAUGGUGAGUAAUCUUAUUUGGGACGAAGCAUCAAUAUUUAGGUGUAAAAGCCGAUUUCUGCUGAGUUUUGGAAUCCUUUGAGGACGGGAGACAUAAAUAGAAAAUGUUACAUAACUUAACUGCUUUAAAUUCAUGUGGAGUAGUCUCAAAUAUGACACUUUUCUUCAAAGUGUAUCAUCAAAGAGAUUGCUUGAAACAGAAUGAAUGGGUCUUGGCCACUCGAGAGGCUAGAGUUCACCUGACUCAGGAGAGAGACCUUGGCCCCGAAAUCCCUGUCUGAACACAGCUAUCAACAGCACUCCGUCCAGGGCCUUCAGAUCAAUCCCUGCCUCUGACAGAAUCCCACUGCUCAUCCAUGAGAUGACUCUGGCUGGGAGCUCAUAUUUUAGCCCUUCAAAGAUUCAUGCAAUGUUCAGAUGGAACACUUGGAAAAUUGAAUUUGAAUAUUGUGGUUGGAGCUCCUCACUUACAUCAAGAGCUUAAUUCUAUGAGCACAAAAGCAGUGUUGACCCGGGUUUAAACCUUUCUGGCACUCCACCAAAAUGAUAUUUCAUUCAAUAUGUUGGGGGCAAAAAAUGCUACAAACCGCAAGGUGUUUUCUUGCUCCAUUCUUGUUAAGGUGGAACAUCAGGGACUGGACUGUGGUGCACAUCUGCUAAAUACAAAUUCUGUUCGUUCAUAUGUUUCUGACAAGAAAAGAGAAGAUGACAGCUGAUUUGGACAAAGUGGUACUGUGGGCACCCCAUUUAGACUCAGAGACUGGCAAAGCCAAGAGACUGCUUGGAGAUACGAAAGCAAGUUUCACAAAAAAUAGGAGAAGCCCAAUGUGCAAAUAUACAACUGGAAAUUUAGUUUUGACUGAGGUUUUAUGCGUAGUCCUGUGUGGCACUUCAUUAAAAGCAUCAAUUCAAAGCUAAAUAAUCACAGUGUAAUUGGAGGGGCAUCACAAUGUCGUCCUGCUACAUUAAACAGUGCCGUGGAAGAUACCCGACCCAACUUCUAGGCCCAGAGGUCUGAGAAAUUAGCUUCUAUGUGACUUAAAGGUUUGCACAGUCAUUCCAUCCCAAGCAUGUAUUUCAAAUACAGCAAUAACCCCAUUUAUUUAUGAAUAUCAAGUCUCCUGGCUAGCAAAUAACACUGACACAUCACACACUGGCUAUGCUGCUUUUUAACAAGCUGGAUAUCAUUUCUAUCCUAAACAAAUGCAUUCUGUGCCAAAUCAAAUCAAAUCAAAUCAAAUUUAUCAAAAGCAAAUUAUUACAGAGCUAAAUAAUUUCUUGAAUGAAUACAUUUGCUGAUUUCAUUUAAUCAAUUUUGCUGUGCACAUUUAAUGUGGACAUUUGUGAUUCUUUGAAUUUUUAUAAGGAUUCAAGUCAAAAGAUUAGAUAAAAAAAAAAAAAAAAAAAAAGGAAGAAAGAAAUACAAACAGUUUGUAUCAAUGGGCUUUUUCACACUAGUUUCAUGUUUCACACAGUUCAAUUUUAUCCUUGGGUUGGUUAGUUAUUAAUACUGAGUUUGGAGAUUUCAUUAUGUACAUCUGAAAACAUUUGCAUAAUAUUAUUUGCAUAUUUAUGAGGUUAACAACAUUGUACAGUAUGCGGAUUAAAUGUGCUGUGGUUGUCUUCUGAAAAUCAACUCUUCUGAAUUGUCCUACAAAACCAGUCAUGUAUUUUAUCACUUCAUUGAUUGAUUGACUUUUUUUUUUCUUUCUUUUUUUUUCCCCUUAGACAAUUAAACUAAGCAUGAUACAUUCUGUGAAUAUACAAAGUGGAUGAAUAUUUAAUGAGGUAAUCUCUGAGGCAGUUUAUGAAUAGAAAAUCAUCUAAACAAUACACUGUAACAUUGGAGUAUAACAAACUCUUGGCUCCACACUUUAGAGAAAACUAAAAAAAAGCAGUGCCCAUUUUACCAGAAUGAAAUGCUGCUUUAUUAAGGAUUUAAAAAUGUACAAAAAAACAAACAAACAAACAAAAAAAAGAUACCUUUGAAAAGACGUUUAGACAGCGCAAAAGCCUUAAAAAUAUAGCAGAAAAUAAAAGUUCAUACCUGUCUGAUAAUUAAAAGCAUUAAUAAAAUUAAAGCAUAAGACAGGAAAAUAAAGCAGUAUUUAAAGUAGACCUUGCCUGAAGUGUCCCUAUUCUCUUUUUGAUAUAUAACACAAGCUUCCUCAGAAGCUCUAAACUGAAUCAUGGGUAACAAGGUAAGCCUACAGGCCUCCUCCAAUUCACAUUAUAUGUCUGUACCAUGUAGUUUUAUGAUAUUUUGUAAUUCUCUCCUGUAAUAAAUUAGUACAUGGCCAAGUCAACUAAUGAACAAGCAAUUCUGAACAAUAACUUCAGGUAGUUCCAUUAGUCUA
ensembl:lncRNA